rnacentral:rRNA from 1 species
UACGUAGGGUGCAAGCGUUAAUCGGAAUUACUGGGCGCAAAGCGUGCGCAGGCGGUUGUGCAAGACCGAUGUGAAAUCCCCGGGCUUAACCUGGGAAUGGCAUUGGUGACUGCAUGGCUAGAGUGUGUCAGAGGGGGGGUAGAAUUCCACGUGUAGCAGUGAAAUGCGUAGAUAUCUGGAGGAACACCGGUGGCGAAGGCGGCGUUCUGGACUGCAACUGACACUGAUGAACGAAAGCCAGGGGAGCAAACGGG